GCGACGACGCAGCCUACCAACCCUUUGUGAAAACCCCUUGUUGCUUCGGCAGCGGCCUUCCUCCUUUGGAGGCAGUCAGCCUGCCGGCGGCAUUCAGGAAACCCAUUUGCAAUCAGUACACUUUCUGUCUGAACAGCGCAGUCGAAUGACUAUAAAACUUUCAACAACGGAUCUCUUGGUUCCCGCAUCGAUGAAGAACGCAGCGAAACGCGAUAGUUAAUGUGAAUUGCAGAAUUCAGUGAAUCAUCGAGUCUUUGAACGCACAUUGCGCCUCCUGGUAUUCCGGGAGGCACGCCCGUUUGAGCGUCAGCUUAAACCCCCUCCGGCCGAGUAUUACGGCUCGGGCCUUUGGCGUGGGGAGGUGACCGCGGCGCUUCGGYGCCGGCCAGGUUUCCCCCGCUUAAACACGGAGAAAGCUAGCGGGCGGAGCCCCUCUGAAUGGACCGACUUGUAGAAAUCUUUUUGCCGUCGUUGAACGUUCCGGAGGGCCGCCAGCCUCAAACCACCAAAGGACCUAGCGUCCUUAGACUUUUUGACCUCAAAUCGGGCGAGGAUACCCGCUGAACUUAAGCAUAUCAAUAAGCGGAGGAAAAGAAACCAACAGGGAUUGCCUUAGUAGCGGCGAGUGAAGCGGCAAGAGCUCAGAUUUGAAAUCCGGCGCGGUUCCCGCGCCCGAGUUGUAAUCUGGAGAGGAAGCCCCGGCGAGGCCGGCCGUCCAAGUUCCUUGGAACAGGACGUCUUAGAGGGUGAGAACCCCGUACCCGGCGGCCUGCCUAGCCGCGUGGGGCUCCUUCGACGAGUCGAGUUGUUUGGGAAUGCAGCUCAAACCGGGUGGUAAAUUCCAUCUAAAGCUAAAUACCGGCGGGAGACCGAUAGCGCACAAGUAGAGUGAUCGAAAGAUGAAAAGCACUUUGAAAAGAGAGUUAAAAAGUACGUGAAAUUGUUGAAAGGGAAGCGCUUGCCAUCAGAAUCGGGGCCGGUCGAUCAGCGUUCCUUYUGGUUCGUGCACUCGGCCGGCUUCCGUGCCAGCAUCGGCGGCCGCGGCGGGACAAAGGCGGCGGGAACGUGGCUCCCCUCGGGGAGUGUUAUAGCCCGCCGUGUAAUGCCGCCAGUGGCCGCCGAGGACC
rnacentral:rRNA from 1 species